UUCAUGGUUCUAAGAGCUGUUUCAUUUGCGACCUACACAUCACUAGUGUACAGGAGGAGCACGGUUUCCUCUCAGAAUAUUUAGUUUAAGUUUGCAGCUCUCAGCAGAAGCCAACUUCAGCACCCAAGAUGAAGACCUUCUUGCCAAAAUUUGCCAUCAAAAAAUACAGCACGUAUGUCGCAAUGACUGUGAUUUUUGUUCACAAUUAUGUGCUUGGCAAGGAUUUAAACUGUACUUGUGAUGCUGAGGGAUCCUGCAAUUCAUACAUGUGUCUACCUUUUUUUAUUUUAUUUGCUUUACAACUCUGGACCGACGAGCUUUUCAAGAGAGUCUGGAAAUACUCAUGUCGAAGCCCUAUUUGCUGCAAAUUUUUUGUGUUUUUUUGCAUUCACUUUAUGAAAGCAGUUUGCAUUGGUCUGCUUUGGGUAGUGUCUGUGUUCAUUGAUGGAGACUGGUUUGUUUGCUGUUGGAAUACAUACAAAGAACAUCCACAGUUAGGCUGCAAAGACAAAAAAAACAUCACAGCUGAGGAGCAAGUCCUGAUUGCUAAGCUGAAAAACAAAUCCAUGGUAGGACUUCAUUAGCUGAUGCACACCAGAUUAUUGGCUUGGGUAUACUCUUGGCUGGCUUUUUGGUGGUUAGCCUUGUGUUGCCACUUGGAUGGAAGAAAUGCUGUGAAAAGAACAAGAAAUGCUCAAGUUGCUGUGACAGAAAACUGCUAUAUGACCAAAUGAUUUUGGAGGAGGAAGAAAAUGUACUCACAGAGAUGAUAAGAAAAGCAGCAAAAGAUAAGCUGUCAGAAGAAAUACAGAAAACACUCAACAGUGAACGUUGGGGGGAAUCUUUUGAUGUUGCUGAUCAUCUGAUUACAAGCAGAACUCCACCAGGACGCAGGGAAGACAUUUCUAUGGAAAAUCGGCAGCCAGAGGGGGGCCCCCUAAUGGAUGAGCAUGUUUGACAAAGAUGCACAACAACAAUGUGAGGAAAGUAUCGCCACUGCCAUUCUUAUCAGAAUUCAAGUUUCAUUUUCAGUUUAUAACAAAAAAAUAUGUAUGUACAUCACAAGUGAAAAUAUAUUUUCACUUGUAAUAUCUUAAAGAUUAUAGUAAAAUUUUUAUGUUAUCCUUAUAAAUACCAUGUUACGGUGACACAUGUAUGUUUUUCUAUAAUUCAAAGCUUUUUAUAUGUCACAUGAGUGUAGAUUUUUAAUGGUGCUUAUUUUAACGUGUGAACUUGUUAUAAGAAUCAUCUACAGAAAGCUUUUGAGUCACGCAUGACUUUGUAGUUGACAACUUGCCUCUAGGCGUCUUUGCAGCCUUUCGUUGCCUUGGGAACCCCUUAAGAUAUUUACCAUCCUUUUAUAUUUGAAUCAACUGUAGUCUUCACUCUUGCUGGUGGCCACAUUAUCACUCUGUUUAGACCCCAAAGUUUAACUUUUGACCUGCUCACUUCACACUGACGUUGGCUAUUUUGCUUCGUGUUGCUUUCUGUGUGACCAUAUCUUUAAGCUUAUGUCACCCUUUUUAACUGAGUAGUCCAAAAUCAGUCAAAUCCGCAGUAAUCUGUCAUUCAAGGUCAAGUAAGAACAAAUAUUUGAGAAUCUAGUCUUGUUGGGUUAAGUUAGGAUCGUAAGGAGACUGGCAGUGGUAACUCAACUUAAAGAAUGAAAAAAACCUCCACUCAGAAUGAGACACUAACAACAACUUAAAGGAAAAAAAGUGAUUUGAGUGUAUUCAACAUUUAAAUGGUCCAAAACAUAGAUGUGAACAAAACAUUUAAAUCAUUUCAACAUGUAAUCUUCAACAAUGUGCAAUAUAUCACUUACAGUGUCCAUAAAUGUAUUAGGUAGGCUGUCCGUUCAGUUCAGUGCACUUAGUAUUCAGUGUUCUUAAUAAGUUUUAAUUGUCUUUAGUCACUGGUUUGCUACGGAAACUAAGGAAUCGUUAGCAGCUUCUACGACAAACAUCACAUCUUUGACAAACAUAUCCUGACUGGUUUUAUACUGAGAAACUGGACUGUGAAUCACAACUUAAUCUGCAACUGUGAGACUCACCAGGAUAUUCUUCAAAGAAAACGGUGUUCCUCAGGGCUCUGUGCUGGGCCCUAAAUUAUCCAUAUUAUAUAUAAAUGACAUAUGUAGUGUUUGCAAGCUGUUAAAAUGUGCAUUAUUUGCUGAUGAUACCACUCUGUAUUGCUCAGGUAAAAAAAAUAGAACAGCUUCUGAGUACAGUGGAAAAGGAGUUAAAUAAAAAAAAAAAUGGUUUGAUAUAACUAAGUUAUUUUUAAAUAUAAACAAAGCAAAAUUUAUUAUUUUUGGCACUAGACAAAUGAAAAAUGUCUCUAAAAUCAAAGUUGAUGGAAUUAAAAUUGAAAGAGUGUAUGAGAAUAAAUUUCUUGCAGUGAUAAUUAAUGGUAAGCUAAGCUGAAAGUCUCAGAAA